GGGAAUGUGGCUUAGUGGUAGAGUACUUGCAUAACAUGCAUGAAGCCCUGGGUUCAAUUCCUCAGUACCA
rfam:Dipodomys ordii contig_20879, whole genome shotgun sequence.